GUCAAAAUACGCAGUUAAAAAAAAUACGAGUUUAAUAUUUUUCAAUGCUUCAAAACAUAUUCCAAGUUGAUUAAUAUUAGUGAGGGUCACUUCCAAUCUUUUCCUUGUUAGUUUUAACAAUAUUAGUUCAGUCAGUAAUAUUGAAUUUUUCAUUAGCUUUCAUGAAAUAGGCGUCUACGAUUUACCUGCGAUGAUUACACUUAUUACAAAUAUGAGAUCACGACCAUUGCACGCGUACAUUGGUCAUUCUAUGGGCGAAUCUGUUUUUUACGUAAUGGCAACAGAGCGUCCAAAAAUUGCUAGAAUUGUAAAAAUAAUGUCCAGUUUCGGACCAGAAGUUUUUUUAGAUCAUAUGAGAGGUCCACUACGAUCGAUGUUUUAUUUGGUGAAAAAGAUGCAGCCAAUAAUUCGAGUUUUGUUCCAUGAUGAAUUAAUCCCACGAAAAGUUUUUGAAACGGCAAUGGCAUUAAUCGGCAGCAACCCAAAUUUCUUUCUAUCGCAGAUGUGCGCUAUUUUCAUAUUUUCAGUCUUCGGUUACGACCGUGAGCAGUUUACUUACGUGAGUAAUAACUGACCAGUAUUGCGAGUUUUGUUCCAUGACGAACUAUUUUCGGAAGCUGCUUCCAGCACACUAAUAAUAUUAAUGGGGUGCAACCUGAAUUUUUUUCGAGAAGAGUUGUGCGCCAACAAUCUCGUAUUUAUGCCCUACGGUUACGACCCAGAGCAAUUGAAUUAUACUCAGCUAUCCUUUAUGGUGAAUCACCUACCAAUCCCCGUCUCGCUUAAGACUGUGAUGCACAUUGUUCAAGUAAUCGAAUCGCGUACGCCUACUUCUUUAUUGAUAAAUAAUAAUGUGAACAGAUUUUACAAUGUACUACCCAACGUAAUGGAUAUGCACGAAGUGCCGUGGCCCAAUUUUAAUCAUCUGGACUUUGUAUUUGCUAAGGAUGUGUCAAAGCUUUUGUACGAAAGAGUUUUGAAGAUCAUGAAAGGGAAAUAUUCAAAUGAACAAUGAUAUGAUAAUAAAAUACAUUGAGAGAUGAUAUGAAUAUUGUACACUAUAAAUGCUAGUAAUAAACACGAUUGAUGUCAAUUACGUUAUUUUCAAUAAAACAAGCUUUCAA